rnacentral:rRNA from 1 species
GACGAGGGGUCCUAGCGUUGUUCGGAAUCACUGGGCGUAAAGGGUUUGUAGGUGGCCUUAUAAGUCGGAUGUGAAAUCCCACGGCUCAACCGUGGAAGUGCAUUCGAAACUGCAAGGCUUGAAUAUGGAAGAGGGCAGUAGAAUUCCUGGUGUAGUGGUGAAAUACGUAGAUAUCAGGAGGAAUACCGGUGGCGAAGGCGGCUGCCUGGUCCAAUAUUGACGCUGAGAAACGAAAGUGCGGGGAUCAAACAGG